AUAAUAAAAGCCAUCAAUUUCUCACACCAAAAGGGUUUUAAAGUUACAGAGACAGUUUGCUGAAAGAGGAAAAACACAAAAGAAUAGAGAGAGACAGAGAGAUUUCGUAAACUGUAAAAGAACAGAGAUUGAAAGAAAGAUCGAAAAUGUUACAAAAGAGAGAUCAAAAGUGCCUUCAGUCGAGAUAAUGAACCCAUUAAAACAAAUGAAGAACAGAGAUCGACAAAGAGAUAAAUUUCAGGGCAGCCACCACCGUCAUGCAAUCGGAACCGUUACUAGUGAAGGUUUUCUUUAUUCUUUUUAAAAUUACAUGAUAACUAUGAUUUAUAUUUGAGAGUUUCGAUUUAGGCAUUUGGGUUAGAUUUGGUUUUGUUCAAGGUUAUAGGAUUAAAUUUGGUUUAUGGGUAGGGUAUAUGUGUUGCUUUGGAUUUAUUUAACUCUCUCUUGGAUUCAAUUGUAGAUUUCAUUUGUAAAUGAUUGAUUUCAAUUUCAAAUCUAUGUAAUAAAAAAUUAAAAGGUUUUUCUUUAACUUCUUUUUUUUUAUGGGUUUAUUGGUGGAAAGGCAAAUCCUUGGAAGCAAUCCAAGUCAGAUUAGAAGCGAUACUACCAGCUAUAGUUUCCACUCUAUUGGAACCAUCACUGGGACGUUAAAAGGAAGCAAGAGAGAGAAGAGCAAGAAAAAAAAAUUGCAGACAUAGAAGGUAUAAGCUAUGAGAGGCUUUAGUUGAACUUUGAAGUUAACAAAGAAGACAGAAGGGUUUAUCUUGAUUUGGCACCCACGAAAUAUCUUCAGUCUACAAUUCAAAUGCUAUCAGGAAACACAAGCUCAGGAAAAUCAAAUCUUCAACUUUAUUGGUUGUGGUACAAAAUACUAAAACGAAGAGGGAACAGCCACCAGGCAAUGAAUAUCAAAACCUUCUUCUGUAUCUAAAGAGGUACUAACUAACUUUGUUUAUUCAUUUUUUUAUGUUGUUUGGUAAUGGUUUUUUUGCUAAUCGGAGUAGUUUGUUUGUUUUGCUUUGAUUUCUUUAUUGGUUGAGAUAUUUACUGACUCACACUGUUUCUAUAAUUUAUUACUUGGUCUUUGCAUCAUGCGAGUACAAUGAUGAAAACAUAUGUCACAUUACAUUUAAAAAUUUUCAGGUGCUGGUACAUUUGCAAGCUCAUUAGUUGCUCUAUAUAAUACCUUUAUAAAUAGGCUCAACUGCUCAAGUAGUUGGUUGCAAUCCCACGGUGCUUUUACGUAGUUGUGCUUAUUUUGUCUUGGGUGUAAUUUUU